AUUGUGAAAGACCUAUUACAUGAUAAUUCAUGGGUAGAGCCAAAGAGUAUGAACUAUACAAGUUCCCAAUAACAUCAAUUAGUUGAUUAAAUAUUAAAUUAAAGUACAAAGUAAAGGCUCCGGUGUAUAGAGAAGACCUCUCCGUUUAAGAAGUAACCAUAGAAACGAAGGAACCCACUAUUUAUUUUUUGAUUUCUUUUAUUUACUAGAUUUUUGAUACCUAGGAAAAUACAAUUUUUUAUUUCUUUCUUAUUUCGCAGUGAAAUACCUAAAAAAAAU
rnacentral:lncRNA from 1 species